UACGUAGGGCGCAAGCGUUGUCCGGAAUUAUUGGGCGUAAAGAGCUCGUAGGCGGCUUGUCACGUCUGCUGUGAAAUCCCGGGGCUCAACCCCGGGCGUGCAGUGGAUACGGGCUGGCUAGAGGCAGGCAGGGGAGAACGGAAUUCCCGGUGUAGCGGUGAAAUGCGCAGAUAUCGGGAGGAACACCUGUGGCGAAGGUGGCAUCCUGGACCGGUAUUGACACUGAGGCGCGAAAGCCAGGGGAGCAAACGGG
rnacentral:rRNA from 1 species